AAUACGGGCAAAAAUUUGUGAAAGGAAAUCCAAAUCCUAGGAGUUACUACCGAUGCUCGAGUGCUGGUUGCCCUGCAAAGAAGCAUGUGGAGAGGUCAUCCCAUAAUCCAAAAUCAGUGAUUACAGUAUAUGAAGGGCAGCAUGACCAUGACAUCCCACCUUCCAGAACUGUUAUCCAAAAUACAGCAGAGGCUGAUUCUAAUACAACAAGAAUAAGUGGAGAGUCCACAUCUGAAUCAGG
rnacentral:misc_RNA from 1 species